rnacentral:rRNA from 1 species
AAUCGGAAUGAGUACAAUUUAAAUCCCUUAACGAGGAACAAUUGGAGGGCAAGUCUGGUGCCAGCAGCCGCGGUAAUUCCAGCUCCAAUAGCGUAUAUUAAAGUUGUUGUGGUUAAAAAGCUCGUAGUUGAACCUUGGGCCUGGCUGGCCGGUCCCCCUCACCGGGUGCACUGAUCCAGCCGGGCCUUUCCCUCUGUGGAACCCCAUGGCCUUCACUGGCUGUGGCGGGGAAACAGGACUUUUACUUUGAAAAAAUUAGAGUGCUCCAGGCAGGCCUAUGCUCGAAUACAUUAGCAUGGAAUAAUAGAAUAGGACUGGGUUCUAUUUUUUUGGUGUUUAUGACCGCCGUGAUGAUUAAUAGGGUAAGGCGGGGGGAUCAGUAUUCAAUUGUUAGAGGGUGUAUUUUUUGG